UACGAAGGGGGCUAGCGUUGUUCGGAAUCACUGGGCGUAAAGGGCGCGUAGGCGGCUUUAUAAGUCGGGGGUGAAAGCCUGUGGCUCAACCACAGAAUUGCCUUCGAUACUGUAGAGCUUGAGACCGGAAGAGGUUAGUGGAACUGCGAGUGUAGAGGUGAAAUUCGUAGAUAUUCGCAAGAACACCAGUGGCGAAGGCGGCUGACUGGUCCGGUUCUGACGCUGAGGCGCGAAAGCGUGGGGGAGCAAACAGG
rnacentral:rRNA from 1 species